AACGAACGCUUGCUGCAUGCUUUAUACAUGCAAGUCGAACGGAGGCCCUAGCUUGCUAGGUGUCCUUAGUGGCGCACGGGUGAGUAACACGUGGGAACAUACCUUAUAGUACGGAAUAACUGCGGGAAACUGUAGCUAAUACCGUAUACUCCAGUAAUGGGAAAGAUUUAUCGCUAUAAGAUUGGCCCGCGCAAGAUUAGCUUGUUGGUGAGGUAAAAGCUCACCAAGGCUUCGAUCUUUAGCUGGUUUGAGAGGACGAUCAGCCACACUGGGACUGAGACACGGCCCAGACUCCUACGGGAGGCAGCAGUAGGGAAUAUUGGACAAUGGGGGCAACCCUGAUCCAGCAAUGCAGCGUGAGUGACGAAGGCCUUAGGGUUGUAAAACUCUUUCAUCGGUGAGGAUAAUGACAGUAGCCGAAGAAGAAGGACCGGCUAAUUCCGUGCCAGCCGCCGCCGUAACAC
rnacentral:rRNA from 1 species